CCAGGGCAGAGUGAAGUAAACGCAGCUGAGUGGUAAUCAUAACACCUCAAAUCUCAAAAUUGCUCAACUUGAUUUUUUUUUUCUGUUAGCUCUUUUUAUAUUGUUUUUAUUUUUACAUUAGUCUUAUUAUAAUACCAAUUCAUUAGACAUAGUUAAAAUGAUCACAGAAAAACUGCACUACACUUUCUUGGCCAAUCUCCCUGAGUGGGUAUGAGCCAACCGCCCAGGGAAACAAAACAAAACAAGUUAUUUACUGGUCAUAUUUUCUUAGGCACCGAGGUUGAUGCAAGGAAUGCAACAGAAAAAUGACCAUUCCGCAGACCCGAUUGCGACUCCUUCGAUAGCUGCAGUUCAAAUGAAGUGGACAAUGAGUCGUUUGAAAACAAAGAACCUUGUCCUUUGUGGGUUUUGUAGCCGCAAGCCUCAAAAACAGAAAUGACUUGCACUUUUGCCACAACUAUGUGCUGCCACGCUGGAACCACCACAGUGACCAUGGACAGCCCUGAAGUAGCCCACUCAAGUGUGAGGGAGGCUGCACCGCUUAUCAAUUAUGUGCCCACUGACAGAGAGGUAUCAUAAAACUAUAGUAUGCUUUGUCUUGAAGAUAUAUUGCUUUGCUUUAAUGAGAAAAUGUGCAUUGACAAACUAAUGUGUGCACAUCAUCUUUGACUUGUUUUAUAAGUGCAUCGGAGCAAAGGAAUUGCCGUUCCCAAAAGGUUGUACAAUCACCCCAUGGGCUUGAAAAGACAGACCCGUUUGGUUCGUGAAGUGGCCGUUGCCAUUUUUUAUACAGCAGGCCUAGUCGGUAGAAGUGUUACUGGCGCAGCCUCCAAUCGGUCUAAAGGGGAGGCGAAAUCUCCCUUGGAGAAAGAAACAUAUGCUGUGUUUUCAGGUAGGUGAAAUUUUGCAAUCUGACCAAAAUUCAUUGAAGUUGGUGGCUCCAUUUUUGCAGAUAAUCAGCCGAGGUUUCACUGCCAACUUGUGUUAUAAUUACUUACUCAAGCUUCAAGUGUAGCUUUUGCUUACUGGAGCUGGGUACUUUUAUGCAAGAAUCCACAAACUAAUUUUAAACAAUAUUAAAGAGACAGACUGGUAGAACUCCUACUUAUUUCCUUGUCAUAUUGACUCCUCUAUUUAGAGUGCACAUAAUUGUCGCUUAAUAAGUGCCUGUAACUUGCUUUGUUUUUGAUCAUGCAGAUUUCUUCAACCAUUUUUUUGAAGCACACCGUUCUGAUUGGAAAGGUUGAGCAAAUGAAGAAGCUCCUCAAUAAAGCUUUGGCAAAUAAAAUUAAUGACUUCAUGAAAUCAAAAGAUUAACCAAGGAAUGGCUUAUCAAAUAAAAUAUUUUGUUUGA